CUGAAAUCAAGGCAAGCUGAGGUCAAGAAUCAGAUGCUUACAGUUACACCACCCAGAAAGUGUCCAGUGUCAUGGGAAUCAGCUUAGGCUCACCUGCUGGAGGACGAGAGACUGCACCACGGAGACCUAAGUCACCCAGCUGAUAGCCCGCCUCCUCCCAGAGACAGAGCUGCGUCCCCGAGCACAGCUGACGGCAUAUGCAUGGAUGAGCUCAUCCAAGACCAAAAGACCCAUCCAGCCGACCCAUAGACCUGUGAGCAACAACAGAGAGAGAGAGCACAAGCAGGGGGAGCCACAGGCAGAGAGAGAAGCAGGCUCCCCACCGAGCAAGGAGCCCGAUGCAGGACUCGAUCCCAGGACCUCAGGAUCAUGACCUGAGCUGAAGGCAGACGCUUCACCAACUGAGCCACCCAGGCGCCCAUGUAAGUAACUUUUAACCCC
rnacentral:lncRNA from 1 species